rnacentral:rRNA from 1 species
GUAGUACGCUGACGGAGGAGCUUGCUUCUCUGGAUGAGUUUGCGAACCGGGUGAGUCACGCGUAGGUCACCUGCCUGGUAGUCGGGGGAUAACUUAUUGGUAAACCGAUAGCGUAAUACCGCAUAAGAGUAGAUGUUGCAUGUACAUUUGCUUAAAAGGUGCAAUCUGCAUCACUACCAGAUGGACCUGCGUUGUAUUAGCUAGUUGGUGGGGUAACGGCUCACCAAAGCGACGAUACAUAGCCGACCUGGGAGGGUGAUCGGCCACACUGGGACUGAGACACGGCCCAGACUCCUACGGGAGGCAGCAGUAGGGAAUCUUCGGCAAUGGACGGAAGUCUGACCGAGCAACGCCGCGUGAGUGAAGAAGGUUUUCGGACUCGUAAAGCUCUGUUGUAAGAGAAGAUACGAGUGUGAGAGUGGAAAGUUCACAACAUGUGACGGUAUCUUACCA